UAACACUAGAAAUAUUUUAUAAACAAUAUCAGUUAAAUAAAUAAUAAUAUUUUAAAGAAAUUUUGCUUUUGUAUGUACAAAAAUGGGACAAGUUCGGGAAGUGUCUGCGAUAGUAGGUCGAAUCAUAAAAAAAAAUCGUACCAAAUAAGAGGAAUUUCGUAAAGUGAUGGUUUGUGAACAUUACAUUGGAUACAACUCAGAGAAAAAGAUCCAGUAUUGUAAGUGAGCGACAUAAAGGCACCUUUUGAAGUUCUCUGGAUAACAUAUACAUACUCUUACAUUAAUUGAUCCCCAGAUUAUUGGAAACUGUAAUGUAAACGAAUAAAAGUUUAAACAUUUUUAGUAAACAAUAUUGCUGCCGCCACUGGAGGAAACUUUUUUACCUAAUAAGAUAACUGCGCCCAUGCUAAGGACUUAGUUAUGCUCUAACAGUAUGACAAUGGCAGGAAUACACCCAAGCUUCAUGAGAAAAUUGGGACAAUACCAAAGAAUCUAAGCAAACUUGGUUGAGAUUUCGGUAUCAAUUACUACGGUACAGUGUAGCGCAUUUCCUGCCUUGGUAAUUACACUGGUAAACACUGUUUUUGUCGCACGAACUUUUUGAUGAUUUUUGUUUACGUUGGUGUACCAUCCCAAUUAAGAAUAUAUAGUAAUUUUGUUUGAAUCACGUCGAGUUUUUUUGUGACAGCUACAUAUUCAUUUCUGACGUUAUAUACGUGUCUUUUUAUAAAAAUAAUUCAUUUAUACAACUGUAUAACUAUUGCAUUCGACAAACUUACAUCAAAUAUCAUAUACGUUUGUUAGAUCGUAAACAUGCCACGAAAGUGUUCUUACGACCCCGACAGUUUUUGUUAGAACGAAAUCGAUCAGAAAAUCAGGAUUCUACUCCGGAACUUGUUCUAAGCGAAUCAAAAAUUAAAGAGUGAAUAUUUGUAAGUCAAAAAAUAUGUAAACUGAUAAAGAAUAAGUAAGAGCUUGGAAGAAAAACUGAACGAUCAGGAAAAACUCGCCUAAAAUUGUUUUGUGAACGUUGUGUAAAGUUUUUUAGGAAAUCAUAAACCGGAAUGUUACAAAGACUUAAAUAUCUGUAAUGUAAUAACUCUCAUCUCGAUUUCUUUCCGGCAAAUUUGGGACUGUAAGUGAUGAACAAGGCUAGAGGUUCAAAGGUUUGGUGCUUGAAAAUCUUCGAUUGACAAAGAAACAACAACAAAUAAUAUUUGAGCGUUAUGCGUCAAGCAAUCCGUCUGAAACGGUCGGAAAUAUGGACGAACAACUCUUGGUUCCAACAUUACGUCACACUCGUUCUUUGCGACUUUUUUGCCAAAAACUCGACUCAUAUUUUUCCGCAACCGCCGUAUUCGCCUGAUUUGACUCCGUGCGACCUCUGGCUAUUCAGCAAACUCAGAAAGCCAGAGCGGGUACAACGUUUUGACACGAUUAAGGAGAAAAAACCAAAACGAAGUAUGUCUUGAAGGCAAUACCGGAAAAAGACUGUACCGAAUGUUUCGAGGCCUGGAAAAAGUGUUGAUAAAAGUACAUUUUAUCGGAGGAGGAUUACUUUGAAAGACAUGCAAUUUAUUUGGAAGAAUAAAUAAAGAAUAUACAUUUUAUAAACGAA